rnacentral:rRNA from 1 species
AGCCUGAUCCAGCAACGCCGCGUGAGGGAUGAAGGCCUUCGGGUUGUAAACCUCUUUCGGUAGGGACGAAGCGCAAGUGACGGUACCUACUAAAGAAGCACCGGCCAACUACGUGCCAGCAGCCGCGGUAAUACGUAGGGUGCGAGCGUUGUCCGGAAUUAUUGGGCGUAAAGGGCUCGUAGGCGGUUUGUCGCGUCGGGAGUGAAAACACGGGGCUUAACUCCGUGCCUGCUUCCGAUACGGGCAGACUAGAGGUAUGCAGGGGAGAACGGAAUUCCUGGUGUAGCGGUGAAAUGCGCAGAUAUCAGGAGGAACACCGGUGGCGAAGGCGGUUCUCUGGGCAUUACCUGACGCUGAGGAGCGAAAGUGUGGGGAGCGAACAGGAUUAGAUACCCUGGUAGUCCACACCGUAAACGUUGGGCGCUAGGUGUGGGGUCCAUUCCACGGAUUCCGUGCCGCAGCUAACGCAUUAAGCGCCCCGCCUGGGGAGUACGGCCGCAAGGCUAAAACUCAAAGGAAUUGACGGGGGCCCGCACAAGCGGCGGAGCAUGCGGAUUAAUUCGAUGCAACGCGAAGAACCUUACCAAGGCUUGACAUGGGCCGGACCGGGCUGGAAACAGUCCUUCCCCUUUGGGGCCGGUUCACAGGUGGUGCAUGGUUGUCGUCAGCUCGUGUCGUGAGAUGUUGGGUUAAGUCCCGCAACGAGCGCAACCCUCGUUCUAUGUUGCCAGCACGUAAUGGUGGGGACUCAUAGGAGACUGCCGGGGUCAACUCGGAGGAAGGUGGGGAUGACGUCAAAUCAUCAUGCCCCUUAUGUCUUGGGCUUCACGCAUGCUACAAUGGCCGGUACAAAGGGUUGCGAUACUGUGAGGUGGAGCUAAUCCCAAAAAGCCGGUCUCAGUUCGGAUUGGGGUCUGCAACUCGACCCCAUGAAGUCGGAGUCGCUAGUAAUCGCAGAUCAGCAACGCUGCGGUGAAUACGUUCCCGGGCCUUGUACACACCGCCCGUCAAGUCACGAAAGUCGGUAACACCCGAAGCCCAUGGCCCAACCGUUCGCGGGGGGAGUGGUCGAAGGUGGGACUGGCGAUUGGGACUAAGUCGUAACAAGGUAGCCGUACCGGAAGGUGCGGCUGG